UUCUGGCUAGAGGAGCAAGUGGUCUGGCCAACAAUGCAAUUACCCUGCUCUCCUGAUGGGCAACGGGCUGCCCAGUCCUGCCCAGUCCCAUCAGACAGCAGACAGCUGCUGGAAGCUGCCCUUCUCACUGGCCUCUGAACACUCACAAAAGAGCCUCAACGCGCCAAGGUUUGUAAUAUACCGCUCAUGGAUUCUGGCCACACCAAGAUUUUGAUCAUUCAGUCGAGAGGGUCAGGAGCUGUUGCUGUGUAUUUGCUGUCACUGAGGACCUGGUGGGACAUCAGGAGCUCUGUCAGCUGGGAGACUAGAAAAAGCGUUGUAUUUCAAGGUCCUGAUCAGGAAUGGGUCCCUGUUGUGCUGAACGCUGCGCAAACAGAGAUUAAGAGAAGCACCUGUUUUGGAGAGAUAAAUUCCACAUUCAGGAAGGACUGGCACUUUCCAGAUGGAAGGACACCCUGACUUCUGUUUGCCAUGAGCUGGGGAGUCUGCAUAAGAGCCUGUCGCAGAGGAUGGCAGCAAUCUCAUCACCAUCGUCUCAGUAACAGGGACAUUGGAAGCUGUUGGUUUGCUUUGCUGUACUUCACACAAGAUGUAAAUUGAAGCGCCCGAGUCAGGCGGGGGAUGCAGGAGAGCUUUGUUUAAAGAAAAACUACACAAGAAAGAGCAUCCUGGGAGUUCAGGAGCAAUCGGGCGUGAAAAAAGGAGUAGAAAAAAUGACCUGCACCUUAACCAGGAGCCCUCUUCUUUUUCUCUGAAGUUGCACUCAGCCUAAUACAAGUUCCUGCUAUUCACUUAAAAAAACAACGACAACAAAACCCACUACCACCACUGUGUUUAUGUCAGCAAAGCUAAUAAGCAAUCUGCAAACUGGAACCGUUUGCCUUCAUCAAAGAAGCAGUCUUCCUUCUGAAAUCCUCUGCCUCAUCCUCUGUUUCUGCUAACUUCAUCGAAAAAUCAGUGAAAUGCUCUAAGCCUUCACUGGGCAACCUAAGAUGGGUUCUGUAGUUUCUUUCUGUAUGAGGUUUGAAGACUUGGAGGAAAAGAAAGAUUACAAAUUGGGAACCAAAAAUAGAUUGCUCUCAGACAAACUAAUCUAUUUGCAACAUGUAUUGCAAUCAGUCUACUAAAGAAAGACAAGAUGAAUUGUAGCAGCUGGCUUUGAGUGUGGUCCUCAUUUCGCUCCCACUUAUGGCUCGGUGCAUUGUGAAACACGGUUGUGUAACUGCUUCAAGGUCACCAAAGGAGUUACUCGUAAAAGUGCUAAACAGUGGAAAAGUUAUAUAACAACGUGUUCCUUGGAACAGGACCUAAAAUCUAGAACCAGCAGAAGAUGCAGGUGGCAUGUUUUCCAGUAUAUCAUAUGAAUUGGAGACUAUACUUGUGUGCUCACUGCUUUGGGACAGUUAUCAAGUUUCCCUUUCCAACGAUGCCCUUUGAAUUCAAAGCCCAAGCACUGUUCCAGCCAUCUUGGGCAAGUGGUAUCUUGGAUUGUGGAUAUACAUAGAUAUAUAUCUUAAAUAUAUUAAUUACCUUUUUAACUAUUGAUAGACUGACAAAGGAAAGAAUGUGCUUUGGGCUGCAUUGAGGUCCAUGAAGAUCCUAAGACUGGUCAUAAAAUAAAAGCUACAAGUUUUACAUCCUAAUGUAGGAAACUGUGUUAUGUCAGAAAACCUCUUGCUGAUUUCAGCGGGUUGGCUUGCCUGGCUUCCAUGAAUGUGACUUUAUCUUAAGCUGCCUUGUCUGUACAUUUCAGUAGAGUUUAAAGAGAAAAGACUGAGAGAAGACAAAGAAUUAAAUGGUUGUGUCAUUAAGCCUUCAACAUUUGCAAAUAGGGCUUUGGCGAAGUUUGACUUCCCUUCCCCGUGGUAAGUACUUUGUUUGGUUUUGGUCAUUUAGUUACUUAUUAAACCUCUCACAAAGCUUUUUUAAUAUUUCUCCUUUUAUUAACUGCUGUCACAGAAACUGUAUUUCUUGCUUUCUCUCUUUUCACAUGCUGUAGCCCUGCAACAUCCGAAUUAAGUAAGUGGAAAGGACAGUGAUUUAAUUAUAAAUCUGGAAAAAAGUUUGCAGAAAUUCGUUCUAAAACACAUACAGUAAUUUUCAUGGCAGAAGAUAAACAUGUACCGAAUAUGCCAUUAUGUUUAGAGGGAACCAAACCUUUUCAGCUUAGGGAACCUUCUCCGUUUUGCUUCAUUACCACUUUUGUUGGAAAUAAGCUGUCAUUUGAAAACCUUGCAAGUGGAAAUUAGUACACAAUAACUAGACCAAAGCAGCUCUAUGGCUUUUGUAAAUAUACUGGACAGGCUCCUGUAUGGAAUGUAUUUUAGAUGUUGCUGUGAUGAGAAUCGAUGGGAUUGUCUUUGCUAUGGUGUCCACCCACAUUUUUUUUUUCAUUCAGAAAAUUAAACGCUAAUUUGCUGGGAAAAAAGUUUUAAUAAAAGUAUUAGUUUGUGCUUCAGUGAUUCUUCAUUAAUAAAUGCAGCUGGAAUUGGUCUGUGGGGGAUGUGACGAGCAAAGUGCUGACAGACGCUUCACAUAGCAGUAACUAUUGCUUUUGCCUUUCCAAGUUAAAUUUGAUGUCCUGUCAUAGGGAGACUCUAGUUAACGGUGUAUCUCUCUCUUAUGAGAUUUCCAAUAAAACAGUGUUACUGCAUUAGCUUUGCUGUGCUAGAGACCUACAGCUAAGGCAGGAUGAUCACAGUUAAGGGCAGUGCACUCUUAGACUUCUGUCAGGCUGGUUUAUUCUUGCUCAGGACUUGGUGCUGCACGCAUGGUUGCAGGUUUUGCCUGGGCUAUUAUUCACAGGAGCAGAGCGUGUGGACUAUCCAUGCCACAGGCUCAAGUCCUAGCAAGAUGGACAUCAGCGGGCUCUUGGGUGGGUUUCCCAAACAGUCUCUCCAGGGACAUGGGGCUUGGGAGGCCACAGGCUGCGGAUCAUUAGUCCAGUCAAAUACACAAGAGAACAAAAGAAGUUUAUACAUCUUUCUCUGGGUUGUAUUUUGGCCCCUUUUCACGGCAGGCAAACUGCUAUGAGGCAUCCAAUGUUAAUGUUGUACCUGUUUGCAUUGCUCCCCGAUACCCUCAUUCACAGUAAAAAUCAGAGCUUUCAGAAAGGCGUCAGCUGAUGCCCAUUAGAGAUCAUCCAGACACUGCGGUACCAUAAUGGCUCAGCAGGAGCCACUCUACAGUUAUCUCUGGAUGUACAACUAAUGUGAUAUCUGCUUUGAAAAAGUCAUGACCUAACUGUCUCAGUGUUAGAUCUGAAAGUAAUAAGCCUCCAAAAUGCUACUAGCUCUUGUUUCCUUUUGUAACUGAGACAUGUUUGUCUCAGUUGUGUGAGACAAGCUAAUUUUGUCUAGGAAUGAUGUGUAAUUUCUUGGAGAGUUUUCCUUUGCUGUGAUACUGCAGCCCAUCUCCGUGUUACUUACCUGCUACCAGAGAAGGAAUUAUGUCCACCAGGAGCAGGACCUUCUGCAGCCCACGGCAGCUCGGCUGAGUAACUUCCCUUCCUACAGGAAAGACAAGGUAGUAGCUUUGGAGCAUCGCCCUCCUAGUUUAAUAAAGAUAUUUACAUUUUACAGUUUUUAUUCUGUGAUCUAAACCCAUACCCAUAAUAAGUAUAGAAAUAUUAUAUACUAGAUAUUUUAAUUAAAAGUUUUAUUUAUGACAUUUUAGUCCAUUUGAAACACUGAGAAUAGCUCUAGGUUUAAUGCAGGAAGGAUUUUCUUUAUCUACGUAUUAAAAGAAAAAGGAAAUGGAAUAUGGUUGUUUUAACAUUUUAAGUGUCUUUAUGUCAAGUAUAACUGGAAUCCUGGAUUUUAUUUUUUAAUGAAACUUAAUUCAGCCUAGUUAGGAAACCAAUAACCAUAUUUUGUAAUUCAGUUUAUUAAAGUAAUAAACACAGCUAUUCCAGGAAAUGAAAACAUUUCUGGAUAUGAAAUACAGAGUUCUCUGAAGAAGAUAUUCAACUGUGGGUACCUGAUAUUUAGUAAGUAAGCCUGUACAUUUUGCUAUGAAACAGAGUUCUUUCUUUCUAAAGAUACUGGGUGUCAUCUGAUUUCACUGAUGUCUGUGAACAUUGAAGAUCCUUAGCAUUUUCGAGAACUCAUCUGACUUCAUUGGGAUAUUUAAAGUAAAUUUAGAUGUCUAAUUUUAAGCAAGAGAUAGUCAUCCCUUAGGACCUUAUUUUUGAAUAUGAAGACAGCAUCAGCUGCGUUAAGCCUGAAAUAACAGAACUAGAAUUGAUAUUUAAUAAUGCACUAAAUCCUUAAGAGGCUACAGCAUAAGAAUACCAAAGUACAAGAUAGUUAUUAAGAGAGGCCAUUAGUAGAAUACAGCAGAGUGUUUGUUAUUCAUCAUGAUCAGUGAAUUCCUAGAGUUUUAAGAGUAAAGUGGAAGAUACAAAAAUUGGUCGUGGCCAUCCAACUGGAUCUAGGCUCUUUCUCAAGCAGACAAGGACUCAUGCAGUUUAUGUUGAAGAUUUUCUUCGUUUGUCUUUUAUUAAAAUAAGUAAUAUUUUAAAGAGGCUGUUUGGCUGCAGGUUAUCCCAGAGGCAGAAGUGCGGGGACAGACCAUAGCCUCUUAGCCUCAGGUAGUAGAGCAGGGGCUGAAAGGAAGGAUGGUCUGAGUUGCUGCAGAUGCCUUGCACCAAAUCAGUGCUUGAGACCUGAGCCCAGGAGACAAUGGAAAUUGCCCAUUUAUGCUAUAUAGCAUUGUAAGAGGAAAGAGUAAAGUUUAUAACUCAGCAAGACUUUUCUACCUAUGAAAGUGUUUGUUAGAAAUGUAGGCAGCUUUAAAAACUUUUCCUAUAAAUCAGCAUACUAAUAGAGAUACAUCAUAAACUAUAAAAAAAUUAUGAAUAAAUGUAGAUUUUUAAGCAUUGAUCCCAAAUCAACCUAUUCUUGAUUUUUUCUUCUUUUCUUUUAGUCUUUCCGUUUUUCCAGUAAUACAGUCAUCCUAGUCAAUGAAGUUGCCUUUUCUUCUUUUAUAGGCACUUAACAGAAUUAUUAAAAAAUAUUAAAUUGCAACUAAAUGUGAGCUAUGUAGAGGUGAAUUCUUUGGUUAUUGAUAAAGUUUGCAUAAGCCUUGAUGUUCUGCAGAAGUCACUUUAAUUUACCAUUAAAUAUUUUGAGACAAUUGCAGAAGGUAACAGAGAUGUGAGGUUUCCUACAAAAGCCACAUCCGCUGCUACGAAGCCUUCCCUGGUGGUGCUGUUCCAGGUGGCUGAUCUUUCACUUCUUGUCUCAAGAACUGGACUGGGCUUGACAACCUCCCAUUCCUCAGGACCUACAGGAGCUGCAGUUAAUUAAU